UAGGGAAUAUUGGACAAUGGGUGCAAGCCUGAUCCAGCCAUGCCGCGUGCAGGAAGAAGGCCUUCUGGGUUGUAAACUGCUUUUAUCAGGGGAUAAAAAGCCGAUGCGUCGGAAAUUGAAGGUACCUGGUGAAUAAGCCACGGCUAACUACGUGCCAGCAGCCGCGGUAAUACGUAGGUGGCAAGCGUUGUCCGGAUUUAUUGGGUUUAAAGGGUGCGUAGGUGGUCUAUUAAGUCAGUGCUGAAAUAUCCCGGCUUAACCGGGAGGGUGGCAUUGAUACUGAUGGACUUGAGUAAAGUUGAGGUUGGCGGAAUUGACGGUGUAGCGGUGAAAUGCUUAGAUAUCGUCAAGAACACCGAUAGUGAAGACAGCUAACUAAGCUUUAACUGACGCUGAGGCACGAAAGUGUGGGGAUCAAA
rnacentral:rRNA from 1 species